AUUUUUUCCUGUAGCAAUACAGGGAAAAGUCUAGUGGCGAACGGGUGCGUAACACGUGGGCAAUCUGCCUUAAAGUGGGGGAUAGCUCGGCGAAAGCCGAAUUAAUACCGCAUGUGAUCAGGGGAGACAUCUUCCCGAAAUCAAAAGUGGCGCAAGCUACUGCUUUUUGAGGAGCCCGCGGCCUAUCAGCUAGUUGGUGAGGUAACGGCUCACCAAGGCUUUGACGGGUAGCUGGUCUGAGAGGACGACCAGUCACACUGGAACUGAGACACGGUCCAGACACCUACGGGUGGCAGCAGUCGAGAAUUUUUCUCAAUGGGGGAAACCCUGAAGGAGCGACGCCGCGUGGAGGAUGAAGGUCUUCGGGUUGUAAACUCCUGUCAUUUGGGAACAAGUGUCGGUACCUAACUGCUACCGGCUUGAUAGUACCAGAAGAGGAAGGGACGGCUAACUCUGUGCCAGCAGCCGCGGUAAUACAGAGGUCUCAAGCGUUGUUCGGAUUCAUUGGGCGUAAAGGGUGUGUAGGUGGCACCGUAAGUCGGGUGUGAAAUUUCGGAGCUUAACUCCGAAACUGCAUUCGAUACUGCGGUGCUUGAGGACUGGAGAGGAGACUGGAAUUCAUGGUGUAGCAGUGAAAUGCGUAGAGAUCAUGAGGAAGACCAGUGGCGAAGGCGGGUCUCUGGACAGUUCCUGACACUGAGACACGAAGGCCAGGGGAGCAAACGGGAUUAGAUACCCCGGUAGUCCUGGCAGUAAACGGUGCACGUUUGGUGUGGGAAGGAUUCGACCCCUUCUGCGCCGGAGCUAACGCG
rnacentral:rRNA from 1 species